rnacentral:lncRNA from 1 species
UAAUAGUGAAUUAGCGUGCAAGAAAGAAAUGGAGCUUUUUUGGAUUACAAGUGAUAAGAGUAGGUGUAGGAGUAGGACUCAUUUAUUGAAUCUGGUGAUUUGCGUCGGAAGGUUGAGAAUAUAAAGAGCGUGUGAAACUAAGCCAUGUAAUCUAAAACUUUACCGAAACUUUCAGAUCUCGCCUAUUUACCGAUCCAAUUGCUAGUGCAGUAAUAGUUGCUUGAAUUUUCACCGGAUGAAUCUUCUCUUGAAUAAAACCGCCAAUAAGAGCUAGUCAAGUUGACUACUGAAAAUAUACGAUAUUGAAGAUGGCGUAUGUAGUGCUUGUAAUGGUCUGGUGGAUGGUGGAAGCUUUCCACUCUUACUUAGCAUUCAGUAUUACACAAAUGGAUUAAGGAGAAGCGGUAAACGAUUUCAUGAGGUUCGUUUAUUAUAAUGGGUUGAGUAACACGAUUCAAAUUGAGUCAAAAUAUUUUUCGAAGAUAAUCCGCCAAUUUUCUAUAACUCAUAUAUUAAUGCAUUCGUUCAAAUGAUAUUAAUACAUACGUGUAAAUAAGGGACAAAUAGGUAUAAAAAACACGGCGAUAAGAAAUGGAAUUAAUAUUUUGCAACAUGACAACUAGACAUUAUUUCGUCCGUAAACUUU